GACAGAGGGGGCAAGCGUUGUCCGGACUGACUGGGCGUAAAGCGUGCGCAGGCGGUCAGAGGCGUCGGUGCUCAAAGUCCACCGCUUAACGGUGGGAGGCGUGCCGAUACGCUCUGACUGGAGGGCGGGCGAGGGUGGUGGAAUUGCCGGUGUAGUGGUGAAAUGCGUAGAGAUCGGCAGGAACACCAGUGGCGAAGGCGGCCAACUGGGCCGGACCUGACGCUGAGGCGCGAAGGCGUGGGGAGCGAACGGG
rnacentral:rRNA from 1 species